CAACCUUCAACAACGGAUCUCUUGGUUCUGGCAUCGAUGAAGAACGCAGCGAAAUGCGAUAAGUAGUGUGAAUUGCAGAAUUCAGUGAAUCAUCGAAUCUUUGAACGCACAUUGCGCCCUUUGGUAUUCCAAAGGGCAUGCCUGUUCGAGCGUCAUU
rnacentral:rRNA from 1 species